rnacentral:rRNA from 1 species
UACGGAGGAUGCGAGCGUUAUCCGGAUUUAUUGGGUUUAAAGGGUGCGCAGGCGGUCUUUUAAGCGUGAGGUGAAAUGCCACGGCUCAACCGUGGAACUGCCUCGCGAACUGGGAGGCUGGAAUGUCCGUGCCGUGAGGAAUGUGUGGUGUAGCGGUGAAAUGCAUAGAGAUCACACAGAACACCGAUUGCGAAGGCAUCUCACGAACGGAUGAUUGACGCUGAGGCACGAAAGCGUGGGGAUCGAACAG